rnacentral:rRNA from 1 species
GAUGAACGCUGGCGGCGUGCCUAAUACAUGCAAGUCGAGCGAACAGACGAGGAGCUUGCUCCUCUGACGUUAGCGGCGGACGGGUGAGUAACACGUGGAUAACCUACCUAUAAGACUGGGAUAACUUCGGGAAACCGGAGCUAAUACCGGAUAAUAUAUUGAACCGCAUGGUUCAAUAGUGAAAGACGGUUUUGCUGUCACUUAUAGAUGGAUCCGCGCCGCAUUAGCUAGUUGGUAAGGUAACGGCUUACCAAGGCGACGAUGCGUAGCCGACCUGAGAGGGGGAUCGGCCACACUGGAACUGAGACACGGGCCAGACUCCUACGGGAGGCAGCAGUAGGGAAUCUUCCGCAAUGGGCGAAAGCCUGACGGAGCAACGGCGCGUGAGUGAUGAAGGUCUUCGGAUCGUAAAACUCUGUUAUUAGGGAAGAACAAAUGUGUAAGUAACUAUGCACGUCUUGACGGUACCUAAUCAGAAAGCCACGGCUAACUACGUG